UGGGGGACAGCUCAGUGGUUAGAGCACCUGCUUAGCAUGCACGAGGUCCAGGGUUCAAUCCCCAGUCCCUCCA
rnacentral:tRNA from 1 species